GGCGGGGACAGGAGGGCUCGUCCGCCGCCGGGGCAGAGGCUGCCGAGCGCAGAGCAGUCGAUGGAGAUUCUGCAGAGAAGAUUUUUCUACUGACUUCGGUGACCUUUGGACCAAGUCUGCUGCUGGUGUGUUCUCAUUCCUGAGGAGCCCCAGCCGUGUGUCAGACAACAGGGCAGGGAAUUGUGCAGCUGCAAGGCCUGGUUCUGCACACUCACAGGAUGUCAUAACAAGUGGUGUUCCCCAAGGUUUAAGAAGCAUUAAUUCACUGCCAGAAAGCUAUGGAUUUUACUAUUCCUGUAGAACCACAACAGUGAAGAUCACAAUCCUGUUGUGUGUAUUCCAGUCGUUCCUCAGGACCUCUCUGCCACCUACUGUUCUUCCAGAUCCCAGUGCAACAACUUGCUGCAGUGAUCCAGCCCACAUGGGAUCCUGAAGCCUUUGCCAUGAUGCAGUAGAGCUGUAUGCCUUCCCUACUUGUCCAACAGUGACCUGCUACCAAAGGUUUCCCACUUCCUCAGUUCAGGCAUUCUUCCCUUUUUGUGCAACUGAAGGAUUAAACCAUUUCUCUCUUGAUUCUCAGACAGGAGAUCAACAAAGUCUGAGUUUUGAA